rnacentral:rRNA from 1 species
AGUGAACGCUGGCGGUAGGCCUAACACAUGCAAGUCGAACGGCAGCACAGUAAGAGCUUGCUCUUACGGGUGGCGAGUGGCGGACGGGUGAGGAAUACAUCGUAAUCUACUUUUUCGUGGGGGAUAACGUAGGGAAACUUACGCUAAUACCGCAUACGACCUACGGGUGAAAGCAGGGGAUCUUCGGACCUUGCGCGAUUGAAUGAGCCGAUGUCGGAUUAGCUAGUUGGCGGGGUAAAGGCCCACCAAGGGGACGGUCGGUAGCUGGUCUGAGAGGAGGGUCAGCCACACUGGAGGUGAGCCACGGCCCAGGGCCUGAGGGGCGGCAGAGGUGGGGAAUAUUGGCAACAGGGCGGAAGCCUGCUCUAGCCAUGCCGCGUGGGUGAAGAAGGCCUGCGGGUUGUAUGGCGCUUUUGUGGGGAAAGAAAAGCAGCAGGUUAAAACCACGCUGUGCGGCCGUAACCCAAAGAAUAAGCACCGGCAAACUUCGU